rfam:Pan troglodytes isolate Yerkes chimp pedigree #C0471 (Clint) chromosome 9, whole genome shotgun sequence.
AGAUGUGAGGGUGACCUGGCUGUGACAUCUUUUGCCGCAUUGAUGGCCAGGGUUGUUUGGCUGAUCUGGCUGCCUAGGCAGGUGUCCCCUUCCUCCCUCACUGUUCCAUGUGCCUCCCUCCAGAAGCUACAUCCUUGGUUGAAGAGGAUGACCAUCCCCAAUAGAGGAGGACUGGUCUUCAAUCAAGGGCAUAUGAGUAGCUGCACUCCCCUGAUAGAACCUGCAAACAAGCGCUGAAAAAAUGAAGGCAUUUUUUAAUAUCAACUAAUAAUGUGGAGAGAGUACUGGAGUUAAAUAAUCAUUUUGCAAAAAUCAUAAUAAAACUGGUUCAAGCAAGAAUCAUCAAUGGAUAUUAAAU